AAGUCGUAACAAGGUCUCCGUAGGUGAGCCUGCGGAGGGAUCAUUACAAGAACGCCGGGGCCUUCCGGCCAUGGUUCAUUCAUAACCCUUUGAUUGUCCCGAUCUCUUGGUUGGCCUCCGGGGCGACCCUGCCUUCGGGCGGGGGCUCCGGGUGGACACUUCAAACUCUUGCGUAACUUUGCAGUCUGAGUAAACUUAAUUAAUAAAUUAAAA
rnacentral:misc_RNA from 1 species